rnacentral:rRNA from 1 species
CCUACGGGAGGCAGCAGUGGGGAAUAUUGGGCAAUGGGCGCAAGCCUGACCCAGCAACGCCGCGUGCAGGAAGAAGGCUUUCGGGUUGUAAACUUCUUUUCUCAGGGACGAAGAAAGUGACGGUACCUGCGGAAUAAGCCACGGCUAACUACGUGCCAGCAGCCGCGGUAAUACGUAGGUCGCAAGCGUUAUCCAGAUUUAUUGGGUGUAAAGGGCGUGUAGGCGGGAGCGCAAGUCAGAUGGGAAAACUCAGGGCUCAACCCUGAGCCUGCAUUUGAAACUGUGUUUCUUGAGUGCUGGAGAGGCAAGCGGAAUUCCGUGUGUAGCGGUGAAAUGCGUAGAUAUACGGAGGAACACCAGUGGCGAAGGCGGAUUGCUGUACAGUAACUGACGCUGAGGCGCGAAAGCGUGGGGAGCAAACAGGAUUAGAUACCCCUGUAGUC